GUUGAGGUGGCAGAGCACGGGAAUUGCAUAAAACUUAAGCUUUUAUUCUCAGAGGUUCAAAUCCUCUCCCCAAGC
rnacentral:tRNA from 1 species